rnacentral:rRNA from 1 species
ACGUCUACAUUAGAUACCCGUGUAGUCCUAGCCGUAAACGAUACUCGCUAGGUGUCGGCCACGGUGCGACCGUUGUCGGUGCCGUAGGGAAGCCGUGAAGCGAGCCACCUGGGAAGUACGGCCGCAAGGCUGAAACUUAAAGGAAUUGGCGGGGAGCACCACAACGGGUGGAGCCUGCGGUUUAAUUGGACUCAACGCCGGGAAGCUCACCGGAUAAGACAGCGGAAUGAUUGCCGGGCUGAAGACUCUGCAUGACUAGCUG